rnacentral:rRNA from 1 species
UUGCUGGAGGUAUCAGAAGUGCGAAUGCUGACAUAAGUAACGAUAAAGCGGGUGAAAAGCCCGCUCGCCGGAAGACCAAGGGUUCCUGUCCAACGUUAAUCGGGGCAGGGUGAGUCGACCCCUAAGGCGAGGCCGAAAGGCGUAGUCGAUGGGAAACAGGUUAAUAUUCCUGUACUUGGUGUUACUGCGAAGGGGGGACGGAGAAGGCUAUGUUAGCCGGGCGACGGUUGUCCCGGUUUAAGCAUGUAGGCGGAGGUUCCAGGUAAAUCCGGUACCUUUUAACGCUGAGGUGUGAUGACGAGGCACUACGGUGCUGAAGUAACAAAUGCCCUGCUUCCAGGAAAAGCCUCUAAGCAUCAGGUAACAUUAAAUCGUACCCCAAACCGACACAGGUGGUCAGGUAGAGAAUACCAAGGCGCUUGAGAGAACUCGGGUGAAGGAACUAGGCAAAAUGGUGCCGUAACUUCGGGAGAAGGCACGCUGGUGUGUAGGUGAAGUCCCUGCGGAUGGAGCUGAGACCAGUCGAAGAUACCAGCUGGCUGCAACUGUUUAUUAAAAACACAGCACUGUGCAAACACGAAAGUGGACGUAUACGGUGUGACGCCUGCCCGGUGCCGGAAGGUUAAUUGAUGGGGUUAUCCGUAAGGAGAAGCUCUUGAUCGAAGCCCCGGUAAACGGCGGCCGUAACUAUAACGGUCCUAAGGUAGCGAAAUUCCUUGUCGGGUAAGUUCCGACCUGCACGAAUGGCGUAAUGAUGGCCAGGCUGUCUCCACCCGAGACUCAGUGAAAUUGAACUCGCUGUGAAGAUGCAGUGUACCCGCGGCAAGACGGAAAGACCCCGUGAACCUUUACUAUAGCUUGACACUGAACAUUGAGCCUUGAUGUGUAGGAUAGGUGGGAGGCUUUGAAGCGUGGACGCCAGUCUGCGUGGAGCCAACCUUGAAAUACCACCCUUUAAUGUUUGAUGUUCUAACGUAGGCCCCUGACCGGGGUUGCGGACAGUGUCUGGUGGGUAGUUUGACUGGGGCGGUCUCCUCCCAAAGAGUAACGGAGGAGCACGAAGGUUAGCUAAUCCUGGUCGGACAUCAGGAGGUUAGUGCAAUGGCAUAAGCUAGCUUGACUGCGAGCGUGACGGCGCGAGCAGGUGCGAAAGCAGGUCAUAGUGAUCCGGUGGUUCUGAAUGGAAGGGCCAUCGCUCAACGGAUAAAAGGUACUCCGGGGAUAACAGGCUGAUACCGCCCAAGAGUUCAUAUCGACGGCGGUGUUUGGCACCUCGAUGUCGGCUCAUCACAUCCUGGGGCUGAAGUAGGUCCCAAGGGUAUGGCUGUUCGCCAUUUAAAGUGGUACGCGAGCUGGGUUUAGAACGUCGUGAGACAGUUCGGUCCCUAUCUGCCGUGGGCGCUGGAGAAUUGAGGGGGGCUGCUCCUAGUACGAGAGGACCGGAGUGGACGCAUCACUGGUGUUCGGGUUGUCAUGCCAAUGGCACUGCCCGGUAGCUAAAUGCGGAAGAGAUAAGUGCUGAAAGCAUCUAAGCACGAAACUUGCCCCGAGAUGAGUUCU